GAGGAGGGGUGGAGGAGUGGGGAGGAGCCAAUCUACGGCUCCCCUCCCUACCCCGCCCCGCCCAGCAGCCAGUUUGGGGUUGGUUUGUUUAUUUUUUUAAUUUUACUCUAGGGUGUACUUUCCUAUGCUUGUCCACAAGGGGUCACCAUAGUCUCAAACCGAGAUUCCUCGUUUCCCUCCCCCUCCAUCCCUCUUGUCAAAUUAGGCACGGCCAAUCCUGGCGCACGUUUCCAAGACGUCAUGAGUUGCUAGUCAAAUUUCAUGCGUGAGCUUCGGGAAUCUCGAGUUGCGCCUGCGUGUCCGCCUGUCAACUGCCGCGGUCCCGUGGCGUGGCGCGAGAGUGGGGCAGCUCUCUUACUACUAAGAACAAAAAAAGAAGUGUAAGAUAAGAGAAGAGAGAUUCUGCAUUUAGGAGAGAAAUCAAUCUCAUGCAGAGAUCAUCUGAGCAGCAGUAGAGAAGGGGUGAAGAGGAUACUGAGAAUUCUGGAGGGGGAGAGGACUCUGGAACCCAACUGACAGGUCACUUCCAGCCUGGGAGAUGGAGGAGAAAGGUAGAUUUCCUGAAGGCUGAGAAGCCCAUUCAUUUGAGACUUCCCUUCCCUUCUGAGACUCUGAAACAUUGCCACCAAGACUCUUAACUACAGCUGUUUAAAAUACUUAAGAGGACUUGUGGAUUUGGACUUUUGACCAGAACCAUCCAACCAUCCAAAUCCUAACCCCCCCCCCCCCUCUUUCCCUCUCUCCCUCUCUCUCCCUCUCUCUCCCUCUCUCUCCCUCCCUCUCCCUCUCUCUCCCUCCCUCCAAAAAGGAAAGGCCAGGGCUGAGAAGCCUUUGGCCUCCAGAUUCUGAAAGGCCAUCUGCCAUCCUCAAGAGGGGAAAAUCUUUAUGGUUACCUUUUACCCACUUUCCAUCUUCCUACCUCCUACCCCUGCCGUUCCCUUCCUAUUUUGACCACAUUAAAUCAUUUCAAAUUUAGGACUUUGAGUUUGGGUCUGUUACUAAAUAACAUAACAAAGGGGAUCAAGAUUUGAAAUCAUUGAGACAGGAUUUCAAGCAGAAAUCCUGUCUUCUCCUGUGACCUCUCAAAGGUUUAGGAGGGUCACACUUCUUACCAAGAGAGGGUUUGACUUCCAAACCUCAGUGACUCAGUGUUAUCUGACCAGGAAACUGACAUCUUUUCCUUGGCAGUUGACCAUUUCUAAAACCCUGAAAAGGCAGACAGUUAAUGUGCUUGGGGCCAUCAGUCCACGACACCUUGACAGAGUCAUGCGUGUUAGCUGGGGAGACCACAGAGUGGUCCUUGGCGAGAUGUAACUGCCCACUCUAUCCCCCUUGCAUGACUUCUUUCAUCAGUGCCCCUUCCCUAUGAAUUGACAUGAUUAUUAUUCCCCCUAGUCUCAAAAGAAAUAAUGCAAGCGCAAAACACAUGUACCCUUAUUCCCCCAAAACAUCACCAAAAGUUCAGAUCCUCAAACCCAAUCCCAAAAGACUAUCAUGGGUUAACUUUUACUUAGGUACAUAAUUCCCAGCAAAUCCACAGCUACAGGCCAAGCCCAAAACUUUCUCAAGAAGCCAGCACACAAAUCAAUCAUAGAGGUCCAAGCGAUAGGUACAAGUACAUCAAGCUUCAGUAUGCCUCAGUGAAUCAGUAACUCCCUAGAAGUCACCAGUCUAAAUUUGAGUUGUGUUCCCAGACCCCUCAGCCCCUAUGGUAUGAUUGUUGAAUUGUCUUCUAAGAUCUGCUGAUUAAUUAUUCCAUUUUAUUAAAAGCAAUACGUAAUUUUCCUUGAUUAUUUGUAAGCUCAAAACUUCUCACAGGGUAAUGAGAAAACUAAGCCACCUGUGACGAAAUCAUUUAUCUUGUGUGCAAUCUUUAUUCUGUUCAUAAUCACAAUACAAAAAUAUAGAAUGUUAAUCAAGUGAUUUGUUAAAAGUUAAUGUAUCACUUUCCCAAUUAUCUCUCUUUGAUUUUGUAUACCUGCAUGCCAAGAAUAUGGAUAUAAAAAUAAAUCCCAAGCCUGGGAAUGUCGGAGCAGCUGAGAUGCAAAGCAAUCCCAUGGCCAGUAUGAUUAAGCUGUCUUCCGUUUGUUAUUUAUUUUAUUUUAUUUAUUUUGACUGAUUGUUCUCCACCUGUCGGGAACCCUGGAGUCGUGAAUGAGGCUGGACCCUGACUGUGGCAUUAAUGUCCCUUUGGGAAGUAGAGGUAUAAUAGAUCAUCUUGCCUCUCAUUGAGGCAAUCCCACUCUAGUCUUCUGUCCCCCAUCUCCUAGAUAAUAUCUCUGAGGAGCCAUACUCUUUUUUUCCAAGGGAACAGGAUCUGACUUAUCUCCCCCCAUAAGUAACGGAGGAGAGAAACAAUCCCUUCAUUAUCUCUCACCCCUUUUCCCUCCUUCCCAUCUUCUCCUUCUUUACAUAAGCCAUGCUGCAUCUUUGUGACUUAAAAUAUUCAUGCAAUAAAAGCCCAUUUCUUUUAGCAUCACUAGUGGUAAAUGGAGUUUUGUGCCCCAGGACUAUAUUCCCCAGAAUUCCCUUACUUUUCCCAGAAUUCCUUGAAUUACGUUCCCUACUUUGUGUCUUUAUGUCUUGUAAAUAAGUUUGCUAUAACUCCGCCUUUUUGCUCUUCUUCCAGUGGUCUCCUCCUCUUCUCUUGGGCUGAGGGCAGGUUAUUGCUCUCUCUCUUUCUACUCACAGGUUUAUUUUUUUAAAAUUCCCUUUACUUUGACUUAUUACUAAUAAAUACUUAUAUAAUACUUGGAGUAGUGUAUAUUAAUUUUUAAUCUUACAUUUCUGCCCGACCACUUUGGGAAUGAAUUCUCAAAAUUUUUUAAGAUAGCCUUUUUGAGUGAAGGGUAAAGAGAUUUCCUGGUGCUAGGGACCCCCCCACCACACGAGCAGGGAGCAAGAUUGUGCUCUCUCAGCCCACUGCUGCUCCCACCACUAUUGCCCCAGCCCGUGACAAGAGAGGAGAGCUGGGUAACUGCCUUGCUCCAUAUGCCCUCAGCUUUUGCUGCUGCUGCUGCUGCUUCCUGGCAGCUUCCUUGCCUCUGUGACAAUUAAAAGAGUGGUUGGUAUAAAUUGUGACCGUGGAAAUAUGGUUUCAAGAUAUUGUCUUGAGUUAAAUCAAAUAUAAAGUGGUUGCCAGGGGAAAAUUCCCAAAUAUGAAAUAUACCCAAGUCAGCUGGGUUUUUAUGGAGAUUUUAAUUAAUACAAAUUAAGGAAUUAAUGAAAGGGAGAGAGAGAGUAAGAGAAAAUGAGAAAAGGGGUAGGCCAGCCCAGACCAGCCUAGGCCAGCUUCAGCCCAAACCCUAAGAGAGAUCAGUCUAGUCUUUAAUCCACUCACCACAAGAUUUGUCCCAAGCAAGAUUCUAGUGUUCAGAGAGACCCAGCUACUCUAACUAGUCCAAGCUCCAAUUCAGCUUUGGCAAACUGAAUUUUCAGCCAGCCACCAAGCCCUUCAAGGCAGCUCUGGCAAGCUGCCUCUCUCCAAUUCAGCUUUGGCAAGCUGCAAUCUCCAGAGACCUCUUUUGAGCUCCUUUUAAAGAGAAUUUUCUCUUAAGUCACCUCCCCUAAGUUCUCACAUCUACCAAUCACAGUAGACGUUUUUUCCAAAGGACUGACCAUUCUUAAUUCACAUCUUCUUUAGUUCUCAACUUCUCUGGGUAGACUAAAACUUCUGAGUGAGUUCAUACCUCUUUGUCCCUUGCAAGUUUGCAAGUUGCCUGACCUUCAUAGGUACUUAGCACCUUUUUGUAUUAGAUCUAAAAAUAGACUUAGCUUAAGGUUUUUUGCCUUACUAUAAGUAUAGGUUAAGUACUUUUCAUUGUUCAGUAAAGAUUUUACAACUUUAUCUUCCCCUAAAGUAUGCUUAAGUAUGGGUGGAGUAGAGUUCUCACAUCCCUGAUCAAGUACCAUCAUUGUUUAAAAUGGAGAAUGGUCUUGACCAAAUCUUAUGAAAUAGGGUCUGAGAAUUUUUAAGAUUCACACCUCAUACAGAUGUCUCUGAGUCUCCAUAGGAGGAGAUGACAUAUAUAUUUCCCUACAUUGCUAGCAGCUGACUGGUUGGUACUGUUCCCUUGGCCUCUGGUUGUGGCCAUACCCUGCCCCCACCUGGGUCUCAAGCAGCAGCUGUUUGACCUUCCAGCUUGUGGCUCAGGAGGCUCAUAGACCACAGGGCAGCACUUUCCUGGCUGACUAGCCCCACUCCCCUCCUAGUUUUUAAGCAGAUUAAAAAAAAAGCUGACCCUGAGCUCCCAGCUGAGAGGGUUGCAACUGAGUUUUUUUUCACAGGGAGGGCAGGGAAUGAAUCAGUGGAUUUGAAGUAAUAGUUUUGGGGAAUUUGCCUCUGAUUUUUUUGUCCUUUUUCUCCUGACCCAAAACACCAAGAGAUACUCUGUCUUUUAUAUUCAAAUACCCUAUUCUUCUCCCUGGCAGUUUUACCCCUAGGGAGGAGGGCACAGAAAAAGCACAGCUUUUCCAGGCCUCUUACCCAACACUUAAAGGAUUUUUUCCCUUCCAGUCUUUUUGUUUUCCCUGUAAAUAAAAUCCAUUCAGCUUUUUUCCCUUUUUUUGGAGGAAUAAUGCUGUUUCAAAGCAUGCUUGAAACUCUGAAAGAACACUUUGAGUUGGAAGAGCUUACAAGGGUAGAUUGGCUCUAAUUCUUUUCCUGGCAGUUUUUAUUUUAAUUGGAUACUUCUCAUUUUAUUUACUUCUCCUCAAGAAUAUAUAGCAACAAGCUAGGCUGCUUGAAUUAUGGACCAAACUGGGAAAUUUUGACAAAGUUUUCAAAAUCUUAAAUACUCUCAACAUGCAGAAUGGAGAUUCUGCCCAGUGCGUGUAUGAAGAGCUCCAGAAACGUGACCAAAGGAAUCUAAAUGGAUGGAGGGGAAGGAACCUUAAAGAGAUCUGGAAGUUUAUUGAUGUUAACUUUUUGAGUUUUGUUUCCCUUCCUAAUAGUGAACAAGUCUAUUGGAAUUGGAGAAAAGGUCUUUUGAAUUCACUGCCCGUAUCCUGUCAUGCAUAUUGUUUUUGUUGAUUGUUUUAAGAUUCAGUUUUGUUUUUUAAGUUCACACAUUACUCUAAUCAAUACUAUUCUGUUACACUAAGUAAUUUUCAACUAUUGUAUUUUGGCCAUCAACUUUAUGUUCUGUUGCACUGUCUUUAUUUGCACCUCCCCUAUGACUGUACUGAAGAACAUAUCAUUCAUUGUAAAUGUCCAUAAACAACUUGCACAAACACUUUUUGUGGCAAAAUCAUAAGUCCAUAUGGAUGCUAGGUUUGUCACCAGAUCCAUUGAGGUCACAUGUUGCCUUAACAGACUUUUGUUCCUUUUUGCCUAAUUUUCAUAUAGAUGACGGAUGGACUCCAUCAAACUGGUUACAACCUAUAUACAACCUUUGGAGAAUUUAAUGACCUGAAUAUCCCAAUUGAUUUUAAGGGGUCUUCAGAAGUGAUUUUUAGAUAUCUAGUAGCAUCUAUAUCUCUGACUGAUCAUUUGCCUACCUCUGAGUUGUUUGUGACAAAAGGUAAGGGUCUAUUUUGUAGCUGAAGUGGAGUGCAAUGGCACUGUUGUAUUUUCCCAUCUCUGCAUUUAUUAAAAAUGUAAUGAAUGAGACAUCUGAAGUUAUUUUCAUAAUUGUAGUCCGUGGCUCCACAUGUAAUGGAUGGGACAGAUUGGAGACAUGUUUUUUACAUUAUUACAGUCUUAUACCAGAGGGAGGGAGGUGCCCAAAUGGCUUGGUUACCCUGUAAUGGGUUAUAAUCUCAUCUGGGAGGUGGGAAUGAUUUUCCUGGGAAGCCUAGUAGCUUCUGAACAGGGUUUUUUAUAUUUGUAACUCUUCAGCUUAUUCUACCCUUCCACCAGAAUGAUCUAAAUUCUUGGUGACAUUUUAGACCCAAAAGAUUUUCAUCAGCAGUACAGAGGUUUUUGUUUUUUCUGGGUUCCUCUGCCAUAUUUUGGAAUGAUGGCAGUAAUAGACUUUGUUAAAAAUAUCUCAUCUAAGGUUGAAAGAUUGGUUAUAUCUGUCAAACUUGUGACAAGUAUCCACGAGUUCAUAGGUUUUUGAAAUGUGACACAGAGACUCAUAUGAAUCCUAUUUGAUAGUAGGUUUGCAAUUGCCAUUAAGUGGGCUAUUAUGAUUUUGGGGAAUUUUGGUAUUUCUUUGAAUGUGCAUUACCUGCUGUGCUACUGUUUUAUAAAGCUGUUACUUUGUGAAAAUAAUUUGCACUAACGGCGUGGAUCAUGGCCAAGUUUAAAAAGGAAGUGGAUCUCAUUUGGGGGUAAGAAACCUUUGUAUUCUACCUUGCCUUGGCUGACACAGUGUGUCACUGAUUGUGAAAUAUGGAUUUUUGAUUAAAAAAAAUUUUUUUUAUUAUUCUUUUCCCUUGUAUGUGCAAUCUGGUAUUUGAGUCACAUAUAUAUUUUUUCUCAUUUUUUGUACUUGAAGCACAUAUUACCAGUAUUAACUUUUUUUAUUUUGAACUAUGGUAAGCUUAAAAUGUCUAUUAGCCCUAAUGUCAAUGCAUACCCCAAAGCUUUAGACUAUAGAAACAGUGCCAUUGAUUGUUUAAAAAUUAUGGGGCUUUGCUUAAUGAUUCUGUCUGAUUCCAGGAGAAGGGAACAAAAAGAGCUACUGUACAAUGCCAAAGAAGCACAAAGUUAACUUGCAUAGUGCCAAUUGAGCACAAGGUCAAAGAGACCAAAACAAUCCCUGUGGAAUUGAAAUUCUACACCACGACAAGAAGACUUGAAUUUGUUUGAGGUUUGAGCUUGUGGCUGUUUGACAUACAUCAGAGGCAGGUCUUUCCCGUCUUACAUUCUAUCAAACCCCCCACUUUGGCUGCCAUCCUGGCUCCCCAUCCCUAAGAGAAAAAGGUAAAAUCAGACCAGGGAAUGCUAUUUCCCAUUUGCUACUAAAAUCUAGUCCCUUUUCUAUUUUUCAUAUUGUGGCAAAUUUUCUGUAGUCCUGGCUGCUGAUUGGGUAAGUGCAUAAUUUCUACUACAGGCUUAUGGGGCAUAAAUCACUUUAAUCUGGCCCUGAUUCAAGGACCUGCUAUAAGUUUAUUUUUCCUUUACUUAGAAUUUUUACACAUAAGACUUUGAUAUUGUAUAUUUCAUCUAGAAGUUAUUUUUUCUCUUUUAUUUGAAUUUUAUGUUUUUGAAUUUCUUUUGCCAAUUGAUUCAUAUACCUCAUAACUCAGCCAUGUAUCCCUGUGUGAUCCUUGUGUUUGUCACCAUCCUCCUUGUGGGGGGGGGGGAGGGAUUGUAUUAUUAUCCUAUAAUGCAAACUUAAAAUUCUUUUGAGAGUAAUUUUAGGAUAAGAAACUUGCUACCUCCCAGAAUCCAGAAAGUGAACUGUUUGGAGAAGGUGCCAUGAAGAUGCCUAUAGAAAUCACACAUUGCACCAAAAGAUCCAGAGUGAACUUUGGGAUGUGCUAAAUUGAACAAUGGGGGGUUGAAUACACUUGUUUUCAAUGUACACUCUUAUGCCAAAGGGUACUGCUCCCAAAUUGGCUUUUUGUCAAUGUACCUAACAUUGGUUUUGUUCUUUUUCUCUUUUAUUUCCCUUUUCUCCUCAAAUUAGUGUAAUUUGCCUUUAGAAACUGCAAUAUUGUAUGUACCUCUAGUUAAAGUUAUGUUAGUUAUGUUUCCAUGAUCCAUUGGGGCGACUAAUCUUCCAAAGGAUCCCAGGGGGAAAUGUAUAAACAAAGUUUUGUGCCCUAGGACUAUGUUCCACAGAAUUCUUUUACUUUUCCCAGAAUUCCUUGAAUUACUUUCCCCACUUUGUGUCCUUACAUUUUGUAAAUAAGUUUGUUGUAACCCUGCCUUUUCAUUCUUUUCUUCCUGCCUUCUCCUCAUCUUCCCUUGGACUAUGAGCAGGUUAUCUCUCUCUACUCACAGGUUGUUUUUUUAAAAUUCCCUUUACUUGAAGUUAUUAUUAAUAAAUACUUAUAGCAUAUAA